UACGUAGGGUGCGAGCGUUGUUCGGAAUUACUGGGCGUAAAGCGCGUGUAGGCGGCUAUGUAAGUCGGGCGUGAAAUCCCACGGCUCAACCGUGGAAGUGCACCCGAAACUGCGUAGCUAGAGUCCUGGAGAGGAAGGUGGAAUGCUUGGUGUAGAGGUGAAAUUCGUAGAUAUCAAGCGGAACACCGGUGGCGAAGGCGGCCUUCUGGACAGUGACUGACGCUGAGACGC
rnacentral:rRNA from 1 species